UACGUAGGGUGCAAGCGUUAAUCGGAAUUACUGGGCGUAAAGCGUGCGCAGGCGGUUCGCUAAGACCGAUGUGAAAUCCCCGGGCUUAACCUGGGAACUGCAUUGGUGACUGGCGGGCUAGAGUAUGGCAGAGGGGGGUAAAAUUCCACGUGUAGCAGUGAAAUGCGUAGAGAUGUGGAGGAAUACCGAUGGCGAAGGCAGCCCCCUGGGCCAAUACUGACGCUCAUGCACGAAAGCGUGGGGAGCAAACAGG
rnacentral:rRNA from 1 species